rnacentral:lncRNA from 1 species
CACAAGAACCUUACUCAUCCAUUUCCUGAUACCCCUUCUAUGACAUCACUAUGUUUUCCCCAACAGCAGCAGGUACAAUGGACUCCUGAAGAAUAUUCCAGAAUUUUAUGUAUUAACAUCAGACCUUAGACAGCUCUAACAGUCAAAUCAAAUGGAACUUGUGACCACUGUGUUAGCCAACAAUAUUCUAAAGUCUUCAUUGCAUUUCCAAACAUGGACAAAACAGAAAGAGCAGGGAUGUCCGAAUGUUCCAAGUCUGGACAGAGCCCACAGCCCUGCUGCAGUUCCCUACUCAUGGCAGGAGUCAGCAUGCACAGUGUUUGGAGGAGAAAAGACUGGUGGCCUUCAAUCCCAUGAGUAA